rnacentral:rRNA from 1 species
GACAGAGGAGCCAAGCGUUGUCCGGACUGACUGGGCGUAAAGCGCACGCAGGCGGCGCUGCGCGUGGGGUGUGAAAGCUCUUGGCUUAACUGAGAGAGGCCAUCCCAUACGGCAGUGCUCGAGCGGUGCAGAGGUCCGCGGAAUUGCCGGUGUAGUGGUGAAAUGCGUAGAGAUCGGCAGGAACAGCCCAGGGGGGAACCAGCGGACUGGGCAUCAGCUGACGCUCAGGUGCGACAGCGUGGGGAGCGAACCGG